rnacentral:lncRNA from 1 species
ACAUGCAAUCUUGUUUUCUUCCUCAAAACAUAUUCACACAGUGUGGCUCUAUAUUGUGUAACGCCUCCACUUCUCCCUAAGGCGAACCAAAGGGUAUCCGCGGGACGCCUGCCCAACUCUCGCCAGGACUCACUACAAUCCAUCAUUCAAAAACCCGAAAUACCUUAAGUAACUUCAAUACAUAAUUAAAGUACUUCAAAUAUCUCACACUUACAAUUAUACAGCUUUCAACCUUAAAUACAACCCAACGAAAAAAGGGGUACAAUAGCCAUCCGUUAUAAUAUAAUUUAAAAUCUUCAAAAGAAAACAAUCUAAUACUACUCACGAGCACCCUUGGUUUUGAACCCUGUAAAAGAAAACCACAACGUGGGAUGAGCUACACAGCCCAGUGAGGUUCCAAGACACUCUAACAGUUCAAAUAAAUCAAAUAAGUUGGGCAUAUCAUAUGCAUGGUGUAAGGUUACACAAUGGCAUGUUAUCAUGAGGUGAUAAUCAUUGUACGGGUAAUUUGAGACAUUAUCAUGGUAUGAGACAUUUAUCAUGUGACAGUUUUUAUGGUUCAAGACAUUGGCAUAUAUAGUUCACGAGUGAAUGGAGCUUAUUACAGGCAUAGCUCAGGACUUCAUAUUGGCAUUUUAGCAUGAAACAAUUAUCAUGCUACCAGGUAAACAUAUACUGUAGGAUACGGUGUUCCAGUGGAACUCUGUCGGUCAUCUGCACCUUAUGACUUCCGGAUCCCCACGGUACGGUCUGGCCAUCGCCUUAUCCCUCCAGUGGUAAUACUCGAGUAUACCGAAACGGUGGCCCAGGGUUCCAACCUACCCGACCGAGCCCAGUCCUGGCUCGAGUAGGUCAGUAACCAAGGGCAGGGCCCAAGUUCAGUUUAGAGCUUACAACAUGCACAGAUAACCAAGUAAUUCGACAAAAGGUAAAAUUCAUCAUUAGAGUAGGUCGAGUGAGGUAAAGUACCCACUCGCCUAAUAAUGAUGGAUAGUUUCAUAUAACAUGUGAUUCAGGAUAAUCAAGUAAUCAAGUAGAUACUUAGCACGUAAGCACGUAAGCAAUACAAGUUGAUUUCAUGGGAGCAUGUAAUUCACGGAUAUCGAAUAGUCAUGUAGAUUGGAAAUCAUGUGAGCAAAUAGUCAAGUAAUCCAGUAGUCAUGUGGUUGGUAAACGGUUCACGGUUAACGGUUGACGGUUAACGGUUGACGGUUAAUGGUUAACGGUUAAGUAGUGACGGUUAAUUGACAGGCAUUUGUCAUAUGAAUAGGCCAUCAUUGGCCGUUAUCCCAUUUUUACCAUGUAAGAGUCGAGGAGAUUCACUCCAACGACGUAUGCAACCUUAGCAUACCAAGUCAUGUUAUUCGAGCAUUUCCAAGCAUGAGUUAUUCAUCUCAAAAGAGAACGAGUGCGAUAAAGUACACACUCGACUCCAUUUCUCAAAAUCAAGUAGGCUAAGUAAAUAAUCUAGCAAGUUAAGCAUGUAUCGAGUUCAUAUGGUCAUUUGAUAUGGUUAAUCAUUUAACCAAUUCAUGUAGAUAUACAAUGCAAGUAUACAUUCCUUAAAUAGGCAUGAGUAUGGUAAAUACUUAACACAUAGCACUUAACACUUAAUAAUCAUGAAAUAAACGUGUCCUAGACUUAUUCAAUUACGUAUUCCUAUAUGAAACACUCACCUAGUCAAAACAAGCGAGUAGUUUUCAAACAAGCGUUUAGGUGUCCGCUCCGAGCUCCUCUUGGAGAUUCCCUCGAGUGCCUGAGUAAACAAUAAUCAAGUACCACUCAACAUCACUACGAAUCUCUAAUUAUCGAGGAAAAUUGUACGCUACUGCAAUCUAAGGAAAUCUUAUGAAAAUGAACCUCAAUUACUCGUAAAUCGAGGUUCAAGAGUAAAGUUUUAAAGUCUAAAGAGAGAGACUAAUAUUUUCCAUGAAAUCAAGUUCAAGAUGUUCAAUCGGUAUCGAGAAAAGAAGGCAAGUUUCCAAAAUCUCAUUUUCUAAGAAAUUGACAAAUUUCAGCUUUGGGUGUCAAUUUAGAAAAAUCGUAUCUUGCACUAUGUAGGUCCAUAAUUAGAAAACUUGAUACCGUUGGAAACUUCUUCAAAAGCACUAAAAGUUCCUAGAAGAUACUUUUCCAUGAUUCCAAAUGGAAGAUAUUCAAAAAUUGACUCAAAGUUGCUGCUUGGGACCAUUAUGACAGUUUCGGGAUUGCUUUUUGACCAACUUUGAAAAUCCAGCAAAAUUCACACAAUACAAACUAGCCUCCAAAAUUUAGAACUCAAUUAGAGCUACAAUCAAAGUUUAAAACAAAACAAACGGAACAAGAAUCAAAGUUUUGAGCGCCAAGAUAUAGCAGCUCAAAGUUGGCUAAAAUUUCCUCCUCGAUCAGGAAUUUCCAGAUUUAAACAUGAACUUUGGGACGUUGGUUGAACACUGAAACGGACUUGGAAUGGCACCAAAUUUAGCAGUAUUACACUACCAUAUAGGGGUUAUUCCUCUGCAAAUUUUCAAGCAAAAUCUAGCACGAAGAGUCAAUUAACAAAACUGUUGAAGUUUUCAAGAAUUUCCAAGGCAAUCUGCCUCGUACCUUUGUUUUCCUUUUCUCAAGCAUUUGGCCACUAAAAACCUCUCAAAUAUGGUUCAUUUGCGUAGAUAAUGUCUAAAAAACAUCCAAGCUGUAUUUGGUAGGUGAUUUAUACCAAGAAUUUCGAAUGACAAGUCCCAAGUCAAGAUUGGCUAAUCGGCUAAGCGAAAAGGAAAAGUUUUCCAGAUUCGAAGAGAAAUUUCGGGGCAUCAUUUGCAUAUCAAAAUGGUCUUAGAAUAUCACCAAAUUUUGCACAAUUAAACCUCCAUAUGAGGACCACUCCUCUAUCAAAUUUCAUUUGAAAAUUCACACGAGAAGGUAGUUAACUAAACCAUCAAAGUUCAAGAAAUUUCCCAAGGCAAAACUGUCUUCUAGCUCUUCUUUCUUUUUAAAACAUUUUGUCCAAUGCAACCAACCCAAAUCUGGUUUAUUUGUAAAACAAAGUCCAAGGAACAUCUAAUAUAAAGUUUGGUAGAUGUUGGACAUCAAAGUUUCCAAAACAACAAGUCCCAAAUCAAGCUAGGCCAUUCAACUAGUCAAAAGAGGAUUUUUACUCACUGCAUCAGUUUCGAAAUAUAGCCACAACUCACUCAAUUCAACUUGGAAUUGAGCGUGGUUGAUGGCGUUGGAAAGCUAUCUCAUAAAUCUGAAUUUUAUCAGAAGAAACCAUUCUGAAAUUCUAUCCACAAACAGCUCGUUUUUGAGCAUCAAGAUACCAGUCCUGUCCUGUCUCCUGGAGAGAAAUGAAACAGGACAGUGAUAUUCAAACGAAUGGUGUGGCUCACUCAAGUGGAACCAGAACGUGAAUUUGCUACCAAUGGAAAGCUGGGAAUGUCUAGUUUCCAAUGCCACAAACGGCACUUGAUUUCGACAUCGGAGUAAAGAGUUAUAGCCGAUACAAAAUGACUGCCUGGGCAAUACGGGAUUCAUUUUCCAGUUUUGCUAACUUUGGAAAUCAACUCAUUUGACCAACCAAAUCAUGUUAUUUUUCAAUGCAAUUUUGUACACACUCACAAUAACAUGUAAAAAACAUAAUCAAGUCAUUAGAAUCUCAAAAUUGUGCACAAAAUGGUUGGACAAGGCAGGGGCAAAAUCGGAAACUUUUGCUUCUUGCACCCAAUGAAGUUUCUAUCAAUUACACACCAUUAAUCCAUCAUUUUAACCACUAAACCAACAAUAUAUCCACCAUCAAUCAUCAAAUCAGCAACAACCCAAGUGUGGGAGUUCAUAGAGUCCACUUUCACAUUUUAUACCAUAAACAAGACUACCCACAUGAUUAUAUAACCUUAUAUGUGCAAUAUAUCUUACAAAAACUAAGAUCUAUGGGUUGGAUGAUUUGCUACCUUCUUGGAUGACUAGAUCAGAAAUUUUGGUCACUCCUUGCUCCAGAAAACCGUGACUUUUCAGAUCCCUUUUGCAGCUCAAAAUACUCCUCAAGUAUCAAGCUAAGUGUGGUGCAAGUUUGGUUGAAUUUGGAGAUGAUUUGGGGUGGUUUUGAGUGAAAUUUGUGAGCAGAAAUUUUGAAGCAAAUGAGUUAGAGAGAGAAGAGAGCUGGUCGGCAAUGAGGAGAGAGAAUAUGGAGAGAAAUCUGAUUUCCUUUAGCU